rnacentral:rRNA from 1 species
UACGUAGGGGGCAAGCGUUGUCCGGAUUUAUUGGGCGUAAAGCGCGUGUAGGCGGCCACGCAGGUCCGCUGUGAAAACUCGAGGCUCAACCUCGAGCUGUCGGUGGAAACCGCGUGGCUAGAGUCCGGAAGAGGGGACUGGAAUUCCCGGUGUAGCGGUGGAAUGCGCAGAUAUCGGGAGGAACACCCGUGGCAAAGGCGGGUCCCUGGGACGGUACUGACGCUGAGACGCGAAAGCGUGGGGAGCGAACAGG